UCCUUCACAACACCAGGAAUCUCAGACAAAGUGUUCACUCUGGUCUUUCUGAAGCGCUGCUUGAUGAGGCUGAAGCAGCAGUCGGGGUUAACUUGGUGUGGCCUGUGAUCAGGAAGUGAAGGUCCAGACUCUGCUGGAGCUUGUGCAUGGUCCGCCAGGCACAGUCCAGAGCACAAACGUGUUCUUGUUUUGGCCACCUCAGUUAUCAAAAUGCAGGUACACACGUGUUUCCCCAACUCCGUGGUUGGUGACGAAAUGGUACAUGUAGUUGAUGACUGCGCUACUGUCUUUGCUGGAUGACAUGCCUUCAGCAAUCAAGUAGUUGACUUGUUCUGGUAUUCCUUCACAGCAGACACCAAACAAGAUACCCUUGCGAGCAGCGAAAAAGUAGAUGGGAGCUAGUUGCAUAGGGAGCUCAUUUUUCAGCUGCUGCUGCUCAAAUUGGAGUUCCGGGAACCAUGAUAGAUGGAAACAGAUCCAAAUGGACAUAGAGGAGAAGGCAGAGAUUGAGAAGAAGACACAGGAAAAGAUGCAAGAUGGAAAGAGGCGGUGAAGAGGCAAGAAGAGGAAAGAAUGAAAGUGAUGGAAAGACAGAGACAAAUUGACAUAGAACAGUGGUCACCAACCUUUUCUGAGUCAAUAUCACUUUGAGUCAAUUUGCAAGCCGAGAUCUACCGCUCAGAUUGUUUUUAAACAUUACUUAAAUUACGUAAGCCUAUGCAACAUUAACCAAUUAAAAACCGCUCUGUAGCAAUGAGGUUUGUUCUGUAGCCUAUUGGCCCAAUACAUUAUCACUGCAUAUUGGCUGUGCUUGAAUUGCCCUGCACAUGUUGUUAUUCUCAGACUAAUUAGAAAGUAUAUUUAACAAAUGUAGGUCUAUGAUCACACUGGUAAUAGAUCAUUUGUUGUAUUACUUGUGAGGCACAGCUGAGUGAGCAUAAUAAUGACCUUUUACCUUUUUACUGAACUGAUGGCCUGCAUCUGAUGGUCAGUCUGAGGGGAGGGAGGGAGCAGAGGUGAAACUCACCGUCCCUCAGCUCUCUCUCCCUCUGCUGAGGAAAGGGGACACAGUCGUCCAGCUGAUGGCUAAACUCAAGUCGCACUGCAUUAGUCUCAUGCACCAAUUAAUGUUGGAAGGAAGGAGAAGGAGGAAAGAGAGGGAGAUCGAAACACACAGAGACAGAGACAGAGACAGAUGAAAUCACACCAACCUUCGCUUUGGUUCCCUCUCCUGUCCAGCUCAGGCAUUGGGCGUCACCGGCAUUCUAGCUGCUGCCGAACCUACUGCUGGCAAACGCCCUUCACUCAUCAACCUCGGACUUGUCUCGUCAUCAUUACACACACCUGGUUCCAAUCCCCACUCUAUCACUGUAUAUAUACUCCCUCUGUCAUUUGUCGGUCAUUGUAAAUGUUACUUGUUUUCCUGAAAGGAAUCACUCCUACUAUUUCCUGAGUACUUUAUAUUUUGCACUUUGUGUUCACGCUGUGCAUUUUUUUAUGAAGAUAUAUUUUGAGCACAAUAGCGUUUGGGUUUCAUCCCGCUUUGAUCUACGGUGCUUAAAUAAAUUCAGUAGUUCUAAACCUGCAACUGCCUCCUGCCUACUCUUCUCUACACCAGUGACAGAAGAAGAAGAUAGACAAGAACAGAAGCAAAUUGAUGUGAAGAAAGAGGGAAGAGAGGGAGAAUAAGAGACAGAGAUAGAUAGAAGAAAUAAGAACUUCAAGAGGAGAGAUGGAGAAAGGGAGAGAGAGAAUCAGAAACAGAGAGAGAUGGAAUUAAAAGAAGAGAGACGGAAAGAGAUAAAGAGAGAGAAGAUGAUUAUGAGAGAGAGGGAGGAAGUGAGAAGAAGAGAGGACGAGCAGAGAACAAGUUGAAAUUGAGCGACAGAAAGGAAGAGAAAAGAAAAGCAGAAACUGAUGGAGGAAGCAGAGGAGGAGGAAAGAGAGGAGGUACAGCUAUAGAGGGAUGGGUAGGACUAUCUUUGUCACUCACCAUCUUUUACUUUGUCACUUUCUGAUGGCAAUGAAGUCAAACAGAAGACAGUAAGCAUGGAGAAUGAUGGAAUUAAAAUAGAUUUAAAAGCAGAGGCAUAGGAACGGCUAAUUAGGCAUAAAGAGAGGAGGCUAGAAAUAUUGAAGGGGGAAGAGAACGGAUAGAAGAAGAACAACAAAUCAGGAUGAAGAAGGAGGAAAGACUUAGCAAUGGACAGGCAGCUGGAGAGGGUACAACAACAAGAAGAGCAGGAUAAAAAAGAGAGAAGAUGACAGAGGCAAAAAAGAGGCAGGAGAUGGCAGAAGAGGAAAGAACGGAUGAGAAGUACAAGAGGGGUGAGUUUAGAGAAGCCUGAAGAGGAGGAGAAGAACCCUGAAGAGAAGGAGGACGACAAAGAGGACCUUGCCCCAGCCAAUAAAAGUAUCAGAAGGAGAGCAUUGGGUGAAUAAGAAGUGGGAGAAGAGAAACCUCAAAAAGACAGAGAGAAUGUAUCAGAGAGAGGAGGAGGGCUAUGAGAUCAUCAACAUAGACAUCCCUGGAGCCAUAGGAGCGAUAACAUCCUUCACCACCUGGGCAGAGAGAGAGAGAGAGAGGGAGAAGAGGGAGGGGUUGCUGAAAGCUGAAGAGAAAUGGAAGAAGAUGGAGUAUUUCAAUAAGCAGUGGAGAGAGCAAUCCCUGCUUACAAAACAGACUCAACAGACAGUUAAAGAGGACAGGGAGAGGAGGAAGGAACAGCACCUAAAGAACAGGAGGAGAGAUGACUGGAGAUGAAUCUGGAGGCUGUUUACAUUAGACAUGGCUCCCCUGGCUGUACAUGACCAGCCAGAGGAGCCAGAGAGCCAGCAGGGAGGACCAGAGAGCCAGCAGGGAGGACCAGAGAGACAGCAGGGGGGAGCCAGAGAGCCAGCAGGGAGGACCAGAGAGCCAGCAGGGGGGACCAGAGAGACAGCAGGGGGGACCAGAGAGCCAGCAGGGGAUUUCAGAGGUGGCUGAGAAAUCAGUCAACCACCAAACCAAAGAAAAAGCCAGACAUCUAGAAGAGAAUUAAGUUGUGGUAAAAAAUGUUUAAACAUGUAUUUAUGUUCUACAGUGCUAUUAUAUAUGUCCCCACUUUAAAGAAGUGAUAUUAUCCACAUGUUUGGCUCCAAAUGAGAGGAUUUAGUCAACAUGCAACACACUUGUAAAGAUAAAGAUACUUAGUGAAUACUUUCCUGUCUCUGUGACGUCUUUCAGCAUUCCUGACUUCCUGUUGCUCAGAACUGAAACUGGGCGGAGCCAAAUUACCACUAGAGAUACACUGGUAAUAAAAGUGUCUCCCAAUAAUUCCUCCUCCUCUUCUUCAAGGCCACAUUUCCUCAACAAAACAUUAUAAGCUCCUCAAGUCAGCAGUAUCCUCUUCAUCGAGGCAACAAACAUUCUAAGGUCAGUGACUCUCCUCCCCAGACUAGAGAUUCUAAUCUUUAUCCAAGUUGAAUAUCCUUGUUGAAUUCAACUCUGAUCACCACCUCUGCGGUCCUAGAAGAUAUCCCCAAAUGGACAUGGUUUAAACAGAAGUUAAGCAAGAAGUUAAGCAAGUUCUCUCCCCAAUCAGUGGCUCCACAGACCAGAGAUUCUCAUCUUUAUCCAAGUUGAACACAUCGCUGGUCAGUUCCACCACCCUCCUGUCCUAGACCUACAAGAUAUCUCCCAACUCAACAUGAUGAAACAAUUUGAGAGACACAGGGAAAGCUAUGGAGCAGCACCCCUUGGAUGAAGAGCCAUUUAGGGGUUAAGUGCCUUGAUCUAGGGCACAACGGCAGGAGAUGGUACCUGGGAGCAAAGUACUGUUCAGCUUUAAUAAAAGCAUGAAUUAAAAAAGCGACAUUGUUUUUACG